UGCAGAAUCCCGUGAUACCAUCGAGUCUUUGAACGCAAGUUGCGCCCGAAGCCGUUAGGCCGAGGGCACGCCUGCCCGGGCGUCACGU
rnacentral:rRNA from 1 species